rnacentral:rRNA from 1 species
CCCUUAGAUGUUCUGGGCUGCACGCGCGCUACACUGAUGCGCUCAACGAGUUUAUAACCUUGUCCGGCAGGAUUGGGUAAUCUUUUUAAAACGCAUCGUGAUGGGGAUAGAUUAUUGCAAUUAUUAAUCUUCAACGAGGAAUUCCUAGUAAGCGCGAGUCAUCAGCUCGUGCUGAUUACGUCCCUGCCCUUUGUACACACCGCCCGUCGCUCCUACCGAUUGAGUGGUCCGGUGAAUAAUUCGGACUGCAGCAUUGUUCAGUUCCUGAACGUUGCAGCGGAAAGUUUAGUGAACCUUAUCACUUAGAGGAAGGAGAAGUCGUAACA